GGGGAAUACUGCGCAAUGGGGGAAACCCUGACGCAGCAACGCCGCGUGAAGGAAGAAGGUCUUCGGAUCGUAAACUUCUUUGAUGAGGGACGAAAAGAUGACGGUACCUCAAAAACAAGCCACGGCUAACUACGUGCCAGCAGCCGCGGUAAUACGUAGGUGGCGAGCGUUGUCCGGAAUUACUGGGUGUAAAGGGCGCGUAGGCGGGGGAGCAAGUCAGAUGUGAAAUACCGUGGCUCAACCACGGGGCUGCAUCUGAAACUGUUUUUCUCGAGUGUCGGAGAGGAAAGUGGAAUUCCCAGUGUAGCGGUGAAAUGCGUAGAUAUUGGGAGGAACACCAGUGGCGAAGGCGACUUUCUGGACGAUAACUGACGCUGAGGCGCGAAAGCGUGGGGAGCAAAC
rnacentral:rRNA from 1 species